rnacentral:misc_RNA from 1 species
UUCCGUCGGGACACGGGACAGUCCGAGGCCGUGCAUUACUGUCACGUGACGGGAACACAGAGCACAGAUUGCAAGCAAAUCGAUGCUGAUGGGGGUUUUGACUGUGGAGCGGAGUUCUACCUGCAGGGCGGUCUACCGGGUAGACAGGCGCAGUGCUGCAGAAUGUCGGGACACAGAUUGAUGAAUUGCCAAACUCUGGCCCAGAGAUUCUCAUACCGGGACGGCUUUGACAUCAUGUACGUUAACAGGGCUCUCCGCAAGCUAAUCAGUACCCCAAUACCGAGUGACCCCACAACUUUCCAGGUGGAAUUGUGUGACCUUGAGAAACAAGACACGGAAUAAUGUAUAAAUAACAGGUGCAUCUCGGAGAAUACUCUAAAUAUUCACAUUGUAUGUAUGUAUAAAAACAGAGUACGGACUAUAUUAUCCAUAAACUACCAACAUCUCCAGUGUAUUCUUCUGAGGAUAUAUAUCAACACCUAUAUAUAUGUACAGUGUGCAAUUCUUGGGACAGGAUUAACCAAUUCAUUACCAUCUAGGUUGAUUCAGAUUACCUUAAAUCUUGUAUUUCAUGUCUUUGUAUGUUAUUAAUCUAAACAAAAAUUAGUAACUAUUGUAUUUUAUUUGAACUUGAUUUCAUUAUGUAUCUAAUUAUUGUGCUUAUAAAAAUAAUUAUUCUGAAAU